AUUGAACGCUGGCGGCAUGCCUUACACAUGCAAGUCGAACGCAUCGCAAGAUGAGUGGCAGACGGGUGAGUAACGCGUGGGAACAUACCCUUUUCUACGGAAUAGCUCUGGGAAACUGGAAUUAAUACCGUAUACGCCCUACGGGGGAAAGAUUUAUCGGGGAAGGAUUGGCCCGCGUUGGAUUAGCUAGUUGGUGGGGUAAAGGCCUACCAAGGCGACGAUCCAUAGCUGGUCUGAGAGGAUGAUCAGCCACAUUGGGACUGAGACACGGCCCAAACUCCUACGGGAGGCAGCAGUGGGGAAUAUUGGACAAUGGGCGCAAGCCUGAUCCAGCCAUGCCGCGUGAGUGAUGAAGGCCUUAGGGUUGUAAAGCUCUUUCACCGAUGAAGAUAAUGACGGUAGUCGGAGAAGAAGCCCCGGCUAACUUCGUGCCAGCAGCCGCAGUAA
rnacentral:rRNA from 1 species